rnacentral:rRNA from 1 species
UACGGAGGGAGCUAGCGUUGUUCGGAAUUACUGGGCGUAAAGCGCGCGUAGGCGGCUUUGUAAGUUAGAGGUGAAAGCCCGGGGCUCAACCCCGGAACUGCCUUUAAGACUGCAUCGCUUGAAUCCGGGAGAGGUGAGUGGAAUUCCGAGUGUAGAGGUGAAAUUCGUAGAUAUUCGGAAGAACACCAGUGGCGAAGGCGACUUACUGGACACAUAUUGACGCUGAGGUGCGAAAAGCGUGGGGGAGCAAAACAGG